AUGGAAACCCUAAUGGUGGACCGCGUCCACAGCAGCCUCCGCCUCUUCAUGAACCGCAACGCCGUCUUCCUCUGUGAGCGCCUCNNNNNNNNNNNNNNNNNNNAGACCAAUGUGCAAUUGCUAGCGACUUGCUACCUUCACAACAACCAGCCCUAUGCUUCAUACCACAUUUUGAAAGGUAAGAAGCUGCCGGAGUCUCGAUACUUGUUUGCUAUAUCAUGCUUUCGAAUGAACCUACUGCGGGAAGCUGAAGAAACUCUGUGUCCAGUCAAUGAACCAAAUGUUGAGGUUCCGAGUGGUGCGACAGGACAUUACCUUCUUGGACUAAUUUACAGGUACACUGACAGAGUGGCAGCUGCAGCCGAGCAAUUUACACAAGCUUUGACUCUAGAUCCUCUUUUGUGGGCGGCAUAUGAGGAAAUGUGCAUACUAGGAGUUGCUGAAGAUGCAAAUGAAUGUUUUACCGAAGCAACUGCUCUACGUCUCCAGCAGGAACAAACAUCUACAUCAAAUCUGGAGAAGUCAAACUUUGUCAAUGAAAAUCGAGUUCUAUCUCCUAAUGUAUCAGCAAGCCUUGUGGAUAUCAGCCCUAAGCACAUAAAACAAUUGCCUGCUAACAACAUAGCUGAAGUGCCUGGUUAUCCUCAUCUAAGAGCAACCGCAUUACAUGUGCAGAACAGUCUACCAUCUAAUGCAGGACAGUUUGACAGUCCAUCACCAACUGUAACACAGACUUCUGGCAUCGUUCCACCACCACUCUUUAGGAAUCUCCAUGCCUAUCAGAAUACAACAAGUGGUGAUGCUCCGGCCAAACCAAAGGUUAAUGCAGUGAACCAACCACCUAGAAGAAAAUACUUGGAUGAAGCAAGGCUGAAGAAGGUCACUGGAAGGCUCUUUAAUCCGAGUGGUGAUUCAGUACCUCGAAGAAGUGCAAGACUAUCUAGGGAUACACCAAUAAAUUCGAAUUCCAAUAUAUCUCAGUUUGGAGGAAAUGGAUCAGAUCACUCGUCAGGAAGCAGGUAUGAAGCUGUUGAUGAGAUGUGGACAGAUAAUAUAGCAGCAACUUCAUCUUCUUUAAGUAUAGCUGAGGGAAGGUACUUUGAGCAAGAUAAAGCUGAGCGAACCCUGUCACAAGACACCAAAAUGGCGACUGGUAUCAGGGAGCUAUUGGGACUACUACGGACACUUGGGGAAGGCUAUAGGCUAUCUUGCUUGUUUAAGUGCCAGGAAGCAUUGGAAAUGUACAGAAAACUCCCAGAGCCACAAUUUAAUACGGGAUGGGUCUUAUGCCAGGUUGGGAAGGCAUAUUUUGAAUUGGUGGAUUAUUUAGAAGCUGAUCAUUUCUUUGAGUUAGCGCAUCGAUUAUCACCAUGCACGUUGGAGGGAAUGGACAUAUACUCUACUGUUCUUUAUCAUUUGAAUGAGGAAAUGAGGCUAAGUUACCUUGCUCAGGAGCUUAUUUCUGUUGAUCGACUAUCUCCUCAAGCAUGGUGUGCAGUGGGAAAUUGCUUUGCCUUGCGGAAAGAUCAUGAGACUGCUUUGAAGAACUUCCAGCGUGCUGUACAGCUUGACUCAAGAGUAGCAUAUGCUCACACUCUAUGCGGUCACGAAUAUUCUGCAUUGGAGGAUUAUGAGAACAGUGUUAAAUUCUACCGAUGUGCGCUUCAGGUAGAUGAAAGGCAUUACAAUGCCUGGUAUGGGCUUGGAGUAGUUUACCUUCGCCAGGAAAAGUUUGAGUUUGCCGAGCAUCAUUUUAGAAGGGCAUUUCAGAUAAAUCCCCGCUCUUCUGUUCUUAUGUGCUAUCUUGGGAUGGCCUUACAUGCUCUAAAGAGAGAUGAGGAUGCAUUGGAGAUGAUGGAGAAAGCCAUAUUUUCUGAUAAGAAGAAUCCACUUCCUAAGUAUCAGAAGGCUUUAAUUCUGGUAGGCCUUCAAAAAUAUCAGGAGGCUCUGGAUGAGUUGGAACGGUUAAGGGAGAUUGCACCUCAUGAGAGUAGUAUGUAUGCACUUAUGGGCAAGAUAUACAAGCAACUCAAUAUUCUCGACAAGGCUGUAUUUUGCUUUGGCGUUGCCCUUGAUUUGAAACCUCCUGCUGCCGACCUUGCUAUAAUCAAGUCUGCGAUGGAGAAAGUACACCUUCCAGAUGAACUGAUGGAGGAUGAUGACCUGUAA
rnacentral:rRNA from 1 species